rnacentral:rRNA from 1 species
UACGUAUGGUGCUAGCGUUGUCCGGAUUUAUUGGGCGUAAAGAGCUCGUAGGUGGUUCGGUAAGUCGGAUGUGAAAUCUCCAGGCUCAACCUGGAGGGGUCAUUCGAUACUGCCGUGACUAGAGUUCGGUAGAGGAGUGUGGAAUUCCUGGUGGAGCGGUGAAAUGCGCAGAGAUCAGGAGGAACACCCGUAGCGAAGGCGGCACUCUGGGCCGAUACUGACACUGAGGAGCGAAAGCGUGGGGAGCGAACAGG